UCAGGAGGAGACAUCUGACUUUGGCUCAGGUCACGAUCUCACCUGAGUCCUGAGUUUGAGCCCCGCGUCGGGCUCUGCACUCACAGUGCGGAGCUUGCUUGGGAUUCUCUCCAUCUGCCCCUCCCCAAAUUAUGCUUUUUCUCUCUCUCUCAAAAUAAAUAAACUUUUUUAAAAAACGAGGAGGCGACAUCUGUGCUGCAUCUUGAAGGAUGAGCAGGUGUUCAUCAGAGAGAAACAACGGACCCUCGGGACCAACGGGAAAGCACAUGCUAAGUAAGACACACAGGUGUGCAAGACAGUGUGCCGAGGAACACAGGAAGGAGGAAGCAUAGAGUCUGACUGGCAAGGGGCUGGCUGGAGACAGUUCUGGAACUGAGGCAGGGUCGGAUCACAGCAGGGUGGAAGUGUGCAGGGGAAAGGACUUCCCCAGAGGCCAUGGGAGACGGUGAGUGAUGGCAGGAGGCCAGCUGGGACGCUGCGGGGCGGAAAUGUGUUCCCUAGAGCAGAGUCAGAGAUCACAGAAGCCAGUGCACAGCAGAGCAGGAAGAAAACGGUAGACCACAGCCUCCUAGACGGCUGAACCGGUGUCUUAUUCAGCCAGCCCCUGGAAUGGCAGACAGUAACCAUGGAGGCAACAAUGUCCUCCGCUCAUGCACAAGUCAGCUACCGAAAGCAAAACACCUGCAGGAAUCUCCCUGUGACCAUCCAACCGUGUGACCCACAGUGAAGGGAACCAUAGAGGUAAAUGAUUACUAGCGGUUUAAUGCCAGCCAAGGAAAAGCAGCCUGAUGCAAUGGGCAGAAGACAACUACUGGAAGAAUGAUACUGUAUUAAGUUAUGACCUGAAGAAAUGGAGAUGCUGGGACCUUGGAAAAACGAACAGUAGCCCUCACCCCCCAAGGUGCUUAGGGUAGUCCCCGGACAAUAGAGACCAACAAAGGUCUCUCCCUAAACACAGACCAGCUCUGCAGGGAGGAGGAGCCUGGACACCCGGGGAGCUCCACCCAUGGCUCUGAUGCGUCUGUCCAAGCCACAGCAUGAAAGCCUGGCUCUUCUAACUCUGGUGAACCAAGGGCACUACAGCACCCCCCCACCCCAUCCGAGCCCCCAAGCCCAGCUGUGCUGAAAACUUCACUGUGAAAGGAGAGUAUGUGCCAAGGAGCCCGGCUGAGCAACAUUCCCGCGGGCUCUUAAAGCCUACAUCCUCCCAGCAUCCCUGACCUUCCACCGGCAGGAGCUAUCACUGUCCUCCCUAGGAUGAGCUCCCACAGUCUUCCCGCAGCUGUGCCUCUGCAUCUCUCCUCCUUCUCCUGCUCUCUGGUCUGCCCUGGAACAGGGACGCCAGGCGCUGCUCUGGCAUCCCGCAACCAAGAAGUGCCUUCCCACAGACAAGUACAGUUGACCCUUGAACGAUGUGGGGCUUAGGGGCACCAACUGCCUGCACAGUCCAAAAUCUGUGCAUUACUUUUGACUCCUCCCCAAAUUUAGCUACUAAUAGCCUACAGUUGACCAGAAGCUUUACUGAUAACAUAAACAGCCAGUUAGUACAUAUUUGGUACGUUACAUGUUUCAUACCCUGAUUUCUUGCAACAAAGUAAGCUAGAGAAAAGAAAACCUUAUUAAUUAACUCACAAGGAGGACACAUUUACAGGACUAUACUGUUGUUUAUUGAAAAAAAACCCACACGUAAGUGGAGCCAUGCAGUUCAGACCUGUGUGGAUCAAGGGUCAACUGUAUUUAAUCCUUAAUCCAGCCACAACAGAUAACAUCAGCAUAAUCCCCAUCAGCACUCCUAUUUUACAGGUGAGAAAACUGAAGCUGGUGGGUGACCUUAUCUCUGUCUUCCCCAGGACCACCCCAACUUUUAGCCAGGCCUCUCCCAGACUGAACCCAUCAUGAAAGAUACAGCAAUCAUAUUCAGUACCUUUCUGAUCUAACCUCUUUGCUGCUCACUAAACCCAGCAGCCAAGGUGUCAGGGUCAAUCCUGAGUCUCACCACUAAGCUGGCCCUUACUGUGAGUGUGCCUCAAGGUCCCCAGUCCAAAGCAAAUACCAUGACCCUGGCCAGACUCCCCAGUCAUGCUCCAGCACCAGUACCCAUGUCACUUCAACAAGCCGUCCCUCCCAGUGUCCUGACAUGGGAGUGAUGACAUUUCUCCUGGACUGGGGGCAAGCCCCUCUCUGGGCAGGCUGGCUGGGUCAACCAUCACAGAACCACCCCCAGGCCUUCUGCUCCCUCCAACACCAAGCCUUAGGCCACCCAACGCCUUCUACGGCCCCCUCCUCCUAAAGGCCACCCAACACCUUCUACGGCCCCCACCCCCGUCAAAUUCAUUCCCCAUCAACCCAAAACCUGUAUCUAAUGCACAGAUUUCUACCUCUUCCCAAUUUCCAUCCUUCUUCUUGCUCCUUACGCUGCCUUAUUACAUAAACUAAGUCUACCUGCUUCAAAUCACAGCUCAGAGACAUCCGGUGACUUGCCCGAGACUAUGCAGCUAAGUGACAAAGCUGGGUCUUGAAACCCAGUCCUCCAAACUUUAAGCCAUGUGUCUGUUCCACUAAAUCCCAGCUUCCCUCUAUAAAGUUCAGGAAGCCACCUACCCUGAGGGAGGGGCCCACAGUCACUCUCCUCAGUAAUAAUGACUGUGACGAGCGCCAGAAUGUACGCGGAGAGCCAGGUACGUGCUCAGCACCUGACCUGCAGCCCAAGGAGGUGGUACUGUCCUCCCUUUCAAAUCAGAAAAUGAAAACAUAAAUCGAGUCAAGGUUUGACCAGCUGAUAGCCAUACUUUCCGACUGCCACAGUGCUAAACCACUUCUAGCUUCAGUGCAAUUCCUAGCCCACAGCAGCGGCCAAGCUGUGGCUUAACUGAACAAGGAAAUGUAGCUGGAGAGAGCUAAGUGGAAGGCCCUGAAAAAUAAGUCUGUGACCAGAUCGGGCACAGCUAGUGAAACUUAGUGGUCACUCUGCAGCAGAACUAAAAAUAACAUGGUUCCUGGACUGGCUCUGGUGACAGUAUGGAACAUUCUGCAAGUCAGGAUUCCGGGUUUUGAUUCUAGCUUUGCUCCUAUAAGCUGUGUGACUCUGGACAAGUCUUUUCCACUCAUCUCCAGGUCUCGAUUCCCCAUCUCUAAAAAUAAAACAAAACAAAACAAAAAAAAAAAAAAACCAGUAGCUGGACUAGGUCAGCGGUUUCCAUCAGCCUUGGCACAACCUCUGAGGUUGUCAGAAAUGCAAGUUCAUGAUUGACCGCCUCAGAAGUGGGAGCAGGGGGGUGUUCAGGGCAGGCAGCACACCCUCCAGGGUGACUCUGCACUGCCUCACUACAUGGUCUCUCUGAUCUGUCCAGCACUGCUGCUCUGAGCACCUUAGACUUCCCCAAUUCAGCAUCGUCAAAUUCCUCUCGAUUUUGCUACUCUGAUGUUGAUCUGGCGUGAGCUUGAGUCAGCUGGCUCUCUCAUCUGGCCAUGACUGAUGCUUCCUCCUGUGAUUAAUACGAAAGGCCCCAAGAAACAGACAGUUUAUUCCACUGCACUUCUUUUUCCCAUUUACCACCUCAGCGGUAUGCAUUCUGUCACUGUAUUAAAAAAUAAAAGUAAAAAACAUUAGCAAGGAAGCCCAACCAUGAGCACUGUGGCAUCCUGGCACCAACUUUCAAAACACUGGAAAGGGCAUUUAUCCCUAAGGCAAGUCAGUAAGAACCUGCCACGUACUCUGAGAGACAGUGCCUUUCUAAACCCAGUGAGCUCUCUUUCGUACAAAGCCGGCUGAAGGAAUGAGAGAGCAUUUGCUUUGAACACCGAUGACACGUGCAGAUCAAACAAGCCAUUUCUUCCUUAGUCCGUACACGUCAAAAGAAAAAGAAAAAUUACAGACAGACCUUGUAAGAAUGAAAACAUACCCCAAAGAACACCAUUUUCUCGGUGCAGACUAUCAACAAAUGAACUGUUCAUUGCUACAACCCUGAAAUAGAGCCUGAAAGUCUACUGUGGGAGGGAUGGAUGGAUGGAUGGACGGAGAGGCACCUUCUCAGUGCUGGUCCUAGAGGGUGUAGAGAUGAGCAAGUUAUAAUUCUAUUCUAAAGGAACUAAGUUUGAGCAUACUGUGAGUGAUGGCAAACUCGCCCAUCCGUCCAUCUGUGCAUCCGUCCGUCCAUUCAACAAGUGUUUGCUCUAUGUCUGCCAGAUUCCAGACAGGAAUGAAUUGUCGAGAGGAAGUGAUUGUUUCCUGCUUAGGGGCAAAGGGUGGAAAGCAAGGCCUGCCUCAUGGCGGAGGUGCCAGACCUUGAAGAUCAGUUCCAACAGGUGACGAGGGCAAGGAACAGCAAUCUAGGCUGAGGAAACGCUGUGACAAAGGCCAGAAUAAGAAAAAGCAAUGGAGGUUAGGUUCCUAAAGUCAGUUGGCCCCAUUCAACAAGACCAUACAUGGAUACAUGGAGAUGGUAAAAAGAUCAGCCGUUUCCAGGUGCUGGGGUGGGAGGUAGGGAAGAACAGGCAGAUGACAGAGGAUGUUUAGGGCAACAAAAUACUCUGUAUGAUACAAGGGUGGACACAUGUCAUCAUACAUCCGUCCAAAACCCACAGAAUGUACUACAUCAAGAGUGAACCGUAAUGUAAAGUACGGACCUUGGGUGAUAACCAUAUGUCAAUGCAGGUUCCUCAACUGCCACACCGGGACCACGCUGGUGGGGGCUGCUGAUAACGGGGGUUGGGGGGACUAUGUGUGUGUAUGGGGAAGGAGGGAUAUGAGGAAUCUCUGUACCUCCCUCUCAAUUUUGCUGUGAACCCAAAACCAAUCUUCAAAAAUAAGGUCCUUAAAAUUAAAAAAAAAAAAAAGAAAAGAAAAGAAAAGAAAUGUCUUAGGGAUAUACAGAGGGUUU